AAAUGAUGGUCCAAAUUCAAGGAAACAAAUGCAUGCAGUCAUGAGAUUUGAUAAGAAUAGUGGUCUAUAUAAUAGGAUAUAGGAGGGUUAUUCAUUCAUUUCACACUCCAUCACAGUAGGUGGCGGUAUGCACCUUGGAAGUUGUUUCUCAAACCGCCAUUAAAAUCAAAGAAGAAGAGAUUGUUAUCAUGAAGGACCCUGAACACAGCUCCGUUGAUUUGACGUUCUGUAGAAACGUGUGAAUCUUUGGAAACACUAAAGCUGCUCCAGUCAGGAUUAUUAUUUGACCUGAAACCCUACACUGAUCUGUAAUACAGUAAAACAAAGAGCAAUCAGCAGCUUAUUUCACUAACACUACACUUGUGAUGCAAGUCUCCAGACGGGCUUUUUGGUGGUUUAAAGGAGAAAGGUAUGAAAAAAGAAUUAUGUAAGUGUACCUGUUCAGUUCGAUCAGCUAUUUUGGCAGAUAAACCCACAGACCUGGUUUGGAGUUUAAAGACCUAUGGAAAAACCGUGACAGAUGAUGAAACGGAGACACAACACUCCUGAUGAAACAGAGAAGAAACCACUCAGACACAAGGGAAUGUGUGUAAUGGAGCUGGGAAUACACCUUACAGCUUCCAGUUUUCUGUUUCUUUAACUCAUGACUGAGUCGGCAGACAGAAGAGACUGUUUUCCCGUGUUGUCAUGCAUGAGUGUGUGUGUGUGUCAUCUGAAAACCCCAUCUCACUCAGACAAACAUCUUCCAGUAUGAGAACAGUAAUCAGCUGUUUUUGUUCAAUCUACGGUAUCUCCUCCUCCAGACAGAUAGAAUACUGUAAUACUGAUCAUGUAAAUGUGUGACCGUGUGCUUACUGGAGGCUCAGGUGUUUUUUGGAUUCAUUUGUUAACAGAUGCUGGAUGAUGUUCAAUGUUUUUUUUUUUUUUUUUUUUUUUGCUUUAAUCUCCCAAUUAAAGGAAAUGCAUAAAAUCACAGAUUAGAUAUUAGAUGACAUCUGGCUAUUUUCAGAAUAUCAAUAUCAGCCUUUUUCCCUUAUAGUGUGAGUCAUGCAGCUUCAGUCUGGAGGUAUUUAAAGGAGUUUCCAGCUCAUUCGAUACAGCCACAGCGGCAGUGAUCUCAGAGCAGAUGUUUCAGAUGUUCAACACAUGCUAAAAAUAAUACUUUAUCUGUAAUUAUUUGGUAUUAUUUAUUUUAAUUAUUGAAACCUUGACAUUAAUGUUUGUAUCAUACUGAAACUGAUGUAGACCUUUAUUGUACAGCAAUCUUUACAUUUAAACUUAACUCUUAAAUGGAAACUUAACACAACAUAAGAGAAACUGAUGAAUGGGAGAACAUAUAUGGAGCAUCACGAACCGCAGGAUAAUAAAGCACAUGAAGAAGAGAAAAAUUGUAACAAAGAGGACAAAAUGUUACAAUCUAAAGAAGCAAAGAAACCGAGUCUGUUCAGACGGAGCAGUAUUAAUAGCGGCAGACCAAACUUUUCUCAUGAUCCAGACACACCUGAAGAGAUUCACUCUGAUAAAUCAGAUGGAGACACAGACACGGUCAGAUAUUACACAUCAUACACUGAGAAAUAUGUUCAAACUAUGUACAAAUAAUGCAGCAACUUAGCCAGUUUAUCAUAUUGAUUUAGAAAUUAAUAGAUGAAACAGUUUUAUAUCCAUAGUUAGGACAGGCGGUGGUAGAAGACUGUCUUGUUUUUACAUAUUGUGCAUGUUUUCAUAUAAAUGAAGCUUUACAGUAUGUUACUGUACUGUAUGAUACUAUAUAUACAUUUAAGACACUGACAGUAAUGAUUUAUUAUUAUAUUAUUAUAUAUUAUUAUUAUAUUAACAAAGUGAAAUUUUUAGAAUUAAUUUCACUGUAAUAAAUGCUGUAAUAAAGAAAUAAUGCUGGCUGACACGUCUUGUAAAAAUAAAUCUGAAUAAACUUGUGUUUAGUUUGAUGUUGUUGGCUACUUUCUAUUUUAUGACAAAAGUUCAGUGAGGAAAAUGUGUUUGUUAAUAAUUUUAGGCCCUUUCACUUCCUCAGGUAUCUGAAAUAUGAUUUUACUGGAGAAGAUCAGAGGCAGAAUCUCUUUCAUCAGUGUUUAAUCUGCAUUCUGCUACAAAAAUACAAAACUUCCUCUGUGCUUUCUUUUUUACUUGACUUUUUACUAGCUAAAUGAUGUCUAAAACUUUGUAUUGCUAGCACUUAAAUUCUUAAUUUGCAUUUCUCUUUAGAUUUUAAGUGUCUGCUCUGUACUUUAAAUAAAUAGUUAUGAAUUAAAGUCUAGUCUGAAAAUAGAACACUUCCCAUAACACCCGAUGUACUUUCUACAUCAUUAGAAGAAUGGCAUCUACGCUAAUAAUAGUCUGUUUCUCUCUUAUUCCGAGGUCACCGUAGCCACCAGAUCCAGUCUGUGUCCAGAUCAG